AGAAACAUUGCUGAGAAACACAAAUGGACUUCUCCUACGUCGUUUUCAAGGGAUUUCAGUGAAGAUUUAAAUGGCUUUUCACGUACUGUUUGCUGUUUGUAGCUUUGAGUGCAGUGCUACAGGCACAGACCUGGGAAGCUGAGCUGAGAAGACCCAGCUCCCUGCUCAUUUCCAUUCAGAACCCAAGAAUCUGCAGGAACCACAAGAGAUUGGAUGAGAAGCUGGGGGCAGAGUUCUAACAGCAGCCCAAGCCUCCACAGUGCCAAGAUGGGCCAUCUGCCUGUGAGAAGGGAAAGCUUCCACUUCUCUUAGCAAUGACUCUGGCUUAUUUCUAAUUUAGCAGAAAAAAAAAAAUGAUUCAAGCAAUAUCAUGUGCUUCUAUAUCUUCAAAGCAAUACCACACCAUCAAUUAGCAGCUCAGCGUACCAACAGUUCUAAACUUUUUGCGAGCUUCUUGGAAACAAGAUGUGGAGCUUCAGCAGAAGAAAAUUGGUAAGAA
rnacentral:lncRNA from 1 species